rnacentral:lncRNA from 1 species
GAUGGCGUACCAGAGCUUGCGGCUGGAGUACCUGCAGAUCCCACCGGUCAGCCGCGCCUACACCACUGCCUGCGUCCUCACCACCGCCGCCGUGCAGUUGGAAUUGAUCACACCUUUUCAGUUGUACUUCAAUCCUGAAUUAAUCUUUAAACACUUUCAAGUAUUGCAGUUGGACACAUAUAUUUUUUCUUGGAAGAUGUAUUUCCCAAUCAACCUGGUGGAAUAAGAAUUCUGAAAACACCAUCUAUUUUGAAAGCUAUUUUUGAUACACCAGAUGAGGAUCCAAAUUACAAUCCACUACCUGAGGAACGGCCAGGAGGCUUCGCCUGGGGUGAGGGCCAGCGGCUUGGAGGUUAAAGCAGCAGUGCCAAUAAUGAGACCCAGCUGGGAAGGACUCGGUGAUACCCACUGGGAUCUUUUAUCCUUUGUUGCAAAAGUGUGGACACUUUUGACAGCUUGGCAGAUUUUAACUCCAGAAGCACUUUAUGAAAUGGUACACUGACUAAUCCAGAAGACAUUUCCAACAGUUUGCCAGUGGUUCCUCACUACACUGGUACUGAAAGUGUAAUUUCUUAGAGCCAAAAAACUG